CCCCUAGUAACCUAGUGCUAGAGUGCUGGUGCGUAAAACCAGAGGCGCGGGUUCGAUUCCUGUCGAGGGAG
rnacentral:tRNA from 1 species